GACGUAGGGCGCGAGCGUUGUCCGGAUUUAUUGGGCGUAAAGAGCUCGUAGGCGGCUUGUCGCGUCGUCCGUGAAAACCUGCAGCUCAACUGCAGGCUUGCGGUCGAUACGGGCAGGCUGGAGUUCGGUAGGGGAGACUGGAAUUCCUGGUGUAGCGGUGAAAUGCGCAGACGUAUCAGGAGGAACACCGGUGGCGAAGGGCGGGUCUCUGGGCCAUAACUGACGCUGAGAAGCGAAAGCAUGGGGAGCGAACAGG
rnacentral:rRNA from 1 species